rnacentral:rRNA from 1 species
UUGCCUCCUGGGAUUCAGCGGCGGACGGGUGAGUAAUGCCUAGGAAUCUGCCUGGUAGUGGGGGAUAACGUCCGGAAACGGGCGCUAAUACCGCAUACGUCCUGAGGGAGAAAGUGGGGGAUCUUCGGACCUCACGCUAUCAGAUGAGCCUAGGUCGGAUUAGCUAGUUGGUGGGGUAAAGGCCUACCAAGGCGACGAUCCGUAACUGGUCUGAGAGGAUGAUCAGUCACACUGGAACUGAGACACGGUCCAGACUCCUACGGGAGGCAGCAGUGGGGAAUAUUGGACAAUGGGCGAAAGCCUGAUCCAGCCAUGCCGCGUGUGUGAAGAAGGUCUUCGGAUUGUAAAGCACUUUAAGUUGGGAGGAAGGGCAGUAAGUUAAUACCUUGCUGUUUUGACGUUACCAACAGAAUAAGCACCGGCUAACUUCGUGCCAGCAGCCGCGGUAAUACGAAGGGUGCAAGCGUUAAUCGGAAUUACUGGGCGUAAAGCGCGCGUAGGUGGUUCAGCAAGUUGGAUGUGAAAUCCCCGGGCUCAACCUGGGAACUGCAUCCAAAACUACUGAGCUAGAGUACGGUAGAGGGUGGUGGAAAUUUCCUGUGUAGCGGUGAAAUGCGUAGAUAUAGAGGACACCAGUGCGAGGCGACCACCUGGACGGAAUACUGACCCUUGUAGGGGGCGUAAAAGCCGUGUG